UACGGAGGAUCCAAGCGUUAUCCGGAAUCAUUGGGUUUAAAGGGUCCGUAGGCGGUUUAGUAAGUCAGUGGUGAAAGCCCAUCGCUCAACGGUGGAACGGCCAUUGAUACUGCUAGACUUGAAUUAUUAGGAAGUAACUAGAAUAUGUAGUGUAGCGGUGAAAUGCUUAGAGAUUACAUGGAAUACCAAUUGCGAAGGCAGGUUACUACUAAUGAUUGACGCUGAUGGACGAAAGCGUGGGUAGCGAACAGG
rnacentral:rRNA from 1 species